GACAGAGGAUGCAAGCGUUAUCCGGAAUGAUUGGGCGUAAAGCGUCUGUAGGUGGCUUUUCAAGUCCGCCGUCAAAUCCCAGGGCUCAACCCUGGACAGGCGGUGGAAACUACCAAGCUGGAGUACGGUAGGGGCAGAGGGAAUUUCCGGUGGAGCGGUGAAAUGCAUUGAGAUCGGAAAGAACACCAACGGCGAAAGCACUCUAGCUGGCCGACACUGACACUGAGAGACGAAAGCUAGGGGAGCAAAUGGGAUUAGGAAACCCUUGAGUCCGA
rnacentral:rRNA from 1 species